UCGAACGAAACUUCUUUAUCACCGAGUGCUUGCACUCACCGAUAAAGAGUUGAGUGGCGAACGGGUGAGUAACACGUGGGCAACCUGCCCAAAAGAGGGGGAUAACACUUGGAAACAGGUGCUAAUACCGCAUAACCAUAGUUACCGCAUGGUAACUAUGUAAAAGGUGGCUAUGCUACCGCUUUUGGAUGGGCCCGCGGCGCAUUAGCUAGUUGGUGGGGUAAAGGCUUACUAAGGCAAUGAUGCGUAGCCGAACUGAGAGGUUGAUCGGCCACAUUGGGACUGAGACACGGCCCAAACUCCUACGGGAGGCAGCAGUAGGGAAUCUUCCACAAUGGGCGAAAGCCUGAUGGAGCAACGCCGCGUGGGUGAAGAAGGUCUUCGGAUCGUAAAACCCUGUUGUUAGAGAAGAAAGUGCGUGAGAGUAACUGUUCACGUUUCGACGGUAUCUAACCAGAAAGCCACGGCUAACUACGUGCCAGCAGCCGCGGUAAUACGUAGGUGGCAAGCGUUAUCCGGAUUUAUUGGGCGUAAAGGGAACGCAGGCGGUCUUUUAAGUCUGAUGUGAAAGCCUUCGGCUUAACCGGAGUAGUGCAUUGGAAACUGGGAGACUUGAGUGCAGAAGAGGAGAGUGGAACUCCAUGUGUAGCGGUGAAAUGCGUAGA
rnacentral:rRNA from 1 species